UACGUAGGUGGCAAGCGUUGUCCGGAAUUAUUGGGCGUAAAGCGCGCGCAGGCGGUCUCUUAAGUCUGAUGUGAAAGCCCCCGGCUCAACCGGGGAGGGUCAUUGGAAACUGGGAGGCUUGAGUGCAGAAGAGAAGAGUGGAAUUCCACGUGUAGCGGUGAAAUGCGUAGAGAUGUGGAGGAACACCAGUGGCGAAGGCGACUCUUUGGUCUGUAACUGACGCUGAGGCGCGAAAGCGUGGGGAGCAAACAGG
rnacentral:rRNA from 1 species